rnacentral:rRNA from 1 species
UACGUAGGGUGCAAGCGUUGUUCGGAAUCAUUGGGCGUAAAGCGCGUGUAGGCGGUUUGUUAAGUCGAUUGUGAAAUCCCGGGGCUCAACCUCGGAACUGCCUUUGAUACUGCAAGUCUCGAGUCCGAUAGAGGUGAGUGGAAUUCCUAGUGUAGAGGUGAAAUUCGUAGAUAUUAGGAAGAACACCAGUGGCGAAGGCGGCUCACUGGACCGGUAUUGACGCUGAGGUGCGAAAGCGUGGGGAGCAAACAGG